UUAAUUGAAGAGUUUGAUCAUGGCUCAGAUUGAACGCUGGCGGCAGGCCUAACACAUGCAAGUCGAACGGUAGCACAGAGAGCUUGCUCUUGGGUGACGAGUGGCGGACGGGUGAGUAAUGUCUGGGAAACUGCCCGAUGGAGGGGGAUAACUACUGGAAACGGUAGCUAAUACCGCAUAACGUCUUCGGACCAAAGUGGGGGACCUUCGGGCCUCACACCAUCGGAUGUGCCCAGAUGGGAUUAGCUAGUAGGUGGGGUAAUGGCUCACCUAGGCGACGAUCCCUAGCUGGUCUGAGAGGAUGACCAGCCACACUGGAACUGAGACACGGUCCAGACUCCUACGGGAGGCAGCAGUGGGGAAUAUUGCACAAUGGGCGCAAGCCUGAUGCAGCCAUGCCGCGUGUAUGAAGAAGGCCUUCGGGUUGUAAAGUACUUUCAGCGGGGAGGAAGGCGAU
rnacentral:rRNA from 1 species